GUCGAGAAUUUUUCACAAUGGGCGCAAGCCUGAUGGAGCGACGCCGCGUGGGGGAUGAAGGGCUUCGGCCCGUAAACCCCUGUCAUUUGCGAACAAACCUCUCUGGUGAAUAACCCGAGAGCUGAUGGUAGCGAAAGAGGAAGGGACGGCUAACUCUGUGCCAGCAGCCGCGGUAAUACAGAGGUCCCAAGCGUUGUUCGGAUUCACUGGGCGUAAAGGGUGCGUAGGUGGUGAGGUAAGUCGGAUGUGAAAUCUCGGAGCUCAACUCCGAAAUGGCAUUGGAAACUACCUUGCUCGAGGAUUGGAGGGGGGACUGGAAUUCUCGGUGUAGCAGUGAAAUGCGUAGAGAUCGAGAGGAACACCAGUGGCGAAGGCGAGUCCCUGGACAACUCCUGACACUGAGGCACGAAAGCUAGGGGAGCAAACAGGAUUAGAUACCCGAGUAGUCC
rnacentral:rRNA from 1 species